rnacentral:rRNA from 1 species
GACGAACGCUGGCGGCGUGCUUAACACAUGCAAGUCGAACGGAAAGGCCCUGCUUUUGUGGGGUGCUCGAGUGGCGAACGGGUGAGUAACACGUGAGUAACCUGCCCUUGACUUUGGGAUAACUUCAGGAAACUGGGGCUAAUACCGGAUAGGAGCUCCUGCUGCAUGGUGGGGGUUGGAAAGUUUCGGCGGUUGGGGAUGGACUCGCGGCUUAUCAGCUUGUUGGUGGGGUAGUGGCUUACCAAGGCUUUGACGGGUAGCCGGCCUGAGAGGGUGACCGGCCACAUGGGGACUGAGAUACGGACCAGACUCCUACGGGAAGCAGCAGUGGGGAAUAUUGCACAAUGGGCGGAAGCCGGAUGCAGCAACGCCGCGUGCGGGAUGACGGCCUUCGGGGUGUAAACCGCUUUCGCCUGUGACGAAGCGUGAGUGACGGUAAUGGGUAAAGAAGCACCGGCUAACUACGUG